AGGAACUAAGGUAAACGACACGAAUCUAACAAAUAUCUGGACUAAUAACCUUCUACUAAAAGAAACCAAUAUGACAAUUUUUCUUCACCAUGUGUUUCACAGAAAUCUCGUUUCUAAAUAACUCAAAUUUAAAACAUCAUACAACAUAGGGUGCAAAUUUUCGAGACAACACGUAGAAUUUCACCCGUCGCCACGCCGCACAUAUGCUACAUCAAUUGUUAUGAACAGUCGUACGGUAAAGGAGCAGGAUCACACCUAGAGAGACGAGUCGUCCCUCCCUCCGGAAUGCUCCUGUCUCUGGUCAACUCCCGAUUUAAUUUUUGACAAACUAAUACCAGAAAAGUCAAGUUCGAGGAAGAAUCGCGGAGAUAAAGGAAAAAGAAGAGAAAUGCUAGCCCUUUGGUACAUCUGGCUCGGCUACACAGAAUACAAAGCAUACGUAGAAUCGAUGUCCAGAGGGAAUGGCGGCGGCGGGAUGUAUGUGGAAUCGAGCGAAGUCAUCCCCCCCGCUGACAGCUCUCAGGAAGUUUCUCAGCAGUCGAUUAAAUCCGGAGAUAAAUCGACUUCGGAGGCCAAAUACGACAACAACCCACCGCCUUCGGAGGGCGAAAAGAAAGACAACUCUUCGAUUCGCGAUGAUGACCAAGAUGACCGCACGACAUGAAAAACGGUUUGAAUUGCACGCCAGUACGAAAAUCGAAGGAUUGUAAAUUUAUGGUACCCAAGAAAUAAAAUGUCUUCGAAAUUGAGCAGCCGUCCUCUGAAAAAGCACACCAUGUUUUCCAUUCCGUUCCGAAGAGCUAAAUAAAAAUCAUUACCCUUG